rnacentral:tRNA from 1 species
GCCUGGGUGGCUCAGUGGGUUAAGUGUCUGACUUUGGCUCAGGUCAUGAUCUCACAGUUUGUGGGUUCAAGCCCCGCAUUGGGCU